CCGGGGCCUAUACAUGCAAGUCGAACGCACUCUCGUUUAGAUUGAAGGAGCUUGCUCCUGAUUGAUAAACAUUUGAGUGAGUGGCGGACGGGUGAGUAACACGUGGGUAACCUGCCCUAAAGUGGGGGAUAACAUUUGGAAACAGAUGCUAAUACCGCAUAAAACCUAACACCGCAUGGUGUAGGGUUGAAAGAUGGUUUCGGCUAUCACUUUAGGAUGGACCCGCGGUGCAUUAGUUAGUUGGUGAGGUAAAGGCUCACCAAGACCGUGAUGCAUAGCCGACCUGAGAGGGUAAUCGGCCACACUGGGACUGAGACACGGCCCAGACUCCUACGGGAGGCAGCAGUAGGGAAUCUUCCACAAUGGACGAAAGUCUGAUGGAGCAACGCCGCGUGAGUGAAGAAGGUUUUCGGAUCGUAAAACUCUGUUGUUGGAGAAGAAUGUAUCUGAUAGUAACUGAUCAGGUAGUGACGGUAUCCAACCAGAAAGCCACGGCUAACUACGUGCCAGCAGCCGCGGUAAUACGUAGGUGGCAAGCGUUGUCCGGAUUUAUUGGGCGUAAAGCGAGCGCAGGCGGUUUCUUAAGUCUGAUGUGAAAGCCUUCGGCUCAACCGAAGAAGUGCAUCGGAAACUGGGAAACUUGAGUGCAGAAGAGGACAGUGGAACUCCAUGUGUAGCGGUGAAAUGCGUAGAUAUAUGGAAGAACACCAGUGGCGAAGGCGGCUGUCUGGUCUGUAACUGACGCUGAGGCUCGAAAGCAUGGGUAGCAAACAGGAUUAGAUACCCUGGUAGUCCAUGCCGUAAACGAUGAGUGCUAGGUGUUGGAGGGUUUCCGCCCUUCAGUGCCGCAGCUAACGCAUUAAGCACUCCGCCUGGGGAGUACGACCGCAAGGUUGAAACUCAAAGGAAUUGACGGGGGCCCGCACAAGCGGUGGAGCAUGUGGUUUAAUUCGAAGCAACGCGAAGAACCUUACCAGGUCUUGACAUCCUUUGACCACUCUAGAGAUAGAGCUUUCCCUUCGGGGACAAAGUGACAGGUGGUGCAGGGUUGUCGUCAGCUCCGGUCGUGAGAGGUUGGGUUAGUCCCGCAACGAGCCCACCCUUUUUACUAGUUGCCAGCUUUAGUUGGGCACUCUAGUGGAACUGCCGGUGAAAAACC
rnacentral:rRNA from 1 species